rnacentral:rRNA from 1 species
UACGAAGGGGGCGAGCGUUGUUCGGAUUUACUGGGCGUAAAGGGCGCGUAGGCGGCCUGCUAAGUCGAACGUGAAAUCCCUGGGCUCAACCCAGGAACUGCGUCCGAUACUGGUUGGCUUGAAUCCGGGAGAGGGACGUGGAAUUCCAGGUGUAGCGGUGAAAUGCGUAGAUAUCUGGAGGAACACCGGUGGCGAAGGCGGGUCUCUGGGCCGAUACUGACGCUGAGGAGCGAAAGCGUGGGGAGCGAACAGG